GCCACCUUAGCUUAGGGGUAGAGCAUCGGUCUUGUAAACCGAAGGUCGUGGGUUCAAUUCCCACAGGUGGCU
rfam:Hammondia hammondi strain H.H.34 contig00023, whole genome shotgun sequence.